CUUCAAUGGGACCACUGUCUCUGCCUUGGGAUACAAGAAUCAUUGCUAUUUGUCCUGCAUGCCUAUUGUGCGUCAGGCUCCUUAGAUAGUCAUUUCAUUUAGUCUUCACCUAAACCCAGUAAGAGGAACACUAUCCCAGUUUGCAGAUGAGAAAACUAAGGCUCCAGACAGUUAAUUUGGUCAAGGCCACCCAGCUGGAGAAAUGCCACUCUCCUCAUCUGUAAACUGAGGAGUUAUUAACAGAACCAGAAUCCAUCGUCUGCUGGUUUGAAUUGCUUGAAAUCGAGCGUGAGAAUACACGAAGAGAAGAGGCCCUGGACUAUUCCGAUCUACCGACAAGUGAGCUGGGCUUUUCCAGACUUUUGUUUGGGUUCAAGGUUUCUAAAGCGCAGGCGCGGGAGGUUAGCCACGGUCUUCCGGCGCCCCUUGAGUAGUCCAUGGUCGCCCUCUGCUGACGUAUGUGGUAACUUGCGGAGAGUUAACAUUUCCGGGCCUGAGGGUGGGAUUUAUCUCGCCUAUAGAGGGCGCGCUUCGUCGCGCUGAGUAGGCCCACUCUUGGAGUUCCUUCCUUAAGGACUUCCUGUCUGAUCUCUAUGAUCCAUCCUGUUGCGACGUGCGAAGUUCCUAAAGUUUUCAAUUUACAGUAAACAAAAGAGACCUGCUCCAACCCGGAAGUGAAAACUGGAGCCUGACCUGAGUGGCUUCCAGCGCCGGCCGACCGGAAGAAGGCAGAAAGGAAGCUGCAGCCAUGGCUGUGGCUGUGGCCGCGGCGGGAGUUUUUACCGGCUCGGAGCCAGGCCCCGCGGAAGAACUCGCCAAACUUGAGUAUCUGUCUUUGGUGUCGAAAGUUUGCACCGAGCUGGAUAACCACUUGGGGAUCAACGACAAGGACCUAGCUGAAUUUGUGAUCAGUCUUGCUGAGAAAAAUACUACCUUUGAUACUUUUAAGACUUCGUUGGUCAAAAAUGGUGCAGAAUUCACAGUAUGUAUAUUUGAAGACUAUUUUUUUGUUUUGAUGUCAUUAUUGAGUUUAAAUUUUGGGAGGAUUUAAUGGUAGGAUUUGGAUGUAGGAAGGAGGCAGUUUGUAUAUGCCUAUUAAAUAAGCCAUUUAAUGUGCAAUGUUUUCAUGCCAUGAAGCAGUGGUGAUGAAGCUGGAUUUCCUGUGCCUCCUUUCUAGGAAAUUGCAUUAUGAUUUCCAUCAUUAAAUAUUUUUGGAUGUUUAUGUUCUUGUUCUGUGAAUCAGAAAGUCUGAAACAAGAAUCUAGGUUUUAUGGGUUGGGGAUGUGGCUCAAGCGGUAGCGUGCUUGCCUGGCAUGCUUGCAGCCCGGGUUCGAUCCUCAGCACCACAUACAAAGAUGUUGUGUCUGCCGAUAACUAAAAAAUAAAUAUUAAAAAUUCUCUCUCUCUCUCUCUCUCUCUCUCUCUCCCCCCCCCCCUUUAAAAAAAAACAAACAUAAAGAAUCUAGGUUUUAGAGGUGAUGCUAAAGAAUAGGAAAUAAAAUGGUUGAAGGGAACUAAAUAACUUUUCCACUAAGGAUUCGUAAAAUUAGCAUUCUCUAAAGCUGCUAUUUCUAGCUUCAUGCUGUACCAGGUUGAAUUUUGUGUUCAUUUGUUCCAUUAGCUAAAUUCAAGUGCGUAAUUAUCCCUCACAUUCUUUUUUUUGGUACUGGGGAUUGAACUUAGGGGCACUCAACCACUGAGCCACAUCCCCAGACCGGGUCUCACUGAGUUGCUUAGCACCUUGCUUUUGCUGAGGCUGGCUUUGAACUCACAAUCCUUCUGUCUCAGCCUCCUGAGCUGCUGGGAUUAUAAGUGUGCACCACUGCGCCCAGCUCUUACAUUCUUUUUCUUUUCUUUUCCUUUCUUUUUUUCCUUCCCUUCCCUUUCUUCCCCUUCCCCUUCCUGUUCUUUCCUUCCCUUCUUCUUCCCUUGUCUUCCUUCUUUCCUCCCUCCCUCUCAUUCUUUCCUGAGGAUUGCACCACUGAGCUAUAUCCACAGUCCUGUUUAUUUUGAGACAGGAUCUCACUAAGUUGUGGAGGCUGGUCUUGAACUUGUGCUCUUUCUUACUCAACCCCUUGAGUAGCUGGGAUUACAUGUCUGUGCCAUACCUGAACACUUACUUUUUUUUUUUUUUUUUUUAGUUAUAGAUGGAACACAGUAUCUUCAUUUUUAUUUACUUAUUCGUUUUUAUGUGGUGCUGGGGAUCGAACCCAGAACUUCAUGUGUGCAAGGCAAGCGCUCUAACACUGAGCUAUAGCCCCAGCCCCCUAUAUUUAUUUUUUAGGUGUAUAUGGACACAACACAAUACCUUUAUUUUUAUGUAGUUCUGAGAAUUGAACCUGGGUCCCGCGCGUGCUAGGUGAGCGCUUUACCACUGAGCUACAAUCCCAGCUCUUUUCUUUUUUUUUUUUUUUUUAGUUGUAGUUGGACAUAAUACUUUUAUUUUAUUUAUGUAUUUUUAUGUGGUGCUGAGGAUUGAACCCAGGGCCUCGCACAUGCUAGGCGAGCUCUCUACUGCUGAGCCAUAAUCCCAGCCCCCUUACUUUUCUUUUCUUUCUUUUUUUUUUUUUUAAAUAUUUCUUUUCAGUUGUAGAUGGACACAAUACCUUUAUUUAUUUUAUUUAUUAUUUUUAUGUGGUGCUGAAGAUCGAACCCAGUGCCUCACACGUGUUAGGCAAGUGCUCUACGACUGAGCCACAACUUCAGCCCCUGAUCCCUUACUUUUCUAAGCAUGUUUAAUCACUGAUUCAGGGUUUGACAAUUUUUUCUCCAAGUGUCCAAAUAAAUGAAUAAAAAAUCUAAGAAGGACAACCCAGUGAGGUCCUGUCUCAAAAGUAACAAGGGCUUCUGAUGUAGCUCAGUGGCAGAGUGCUUGCCUGCCAUAUGUGAGGCCAUGGAUUCAAUUCCUAGUACUGCAAAGAAAGAAAAAAAUGAGUAUCAAACUGCUGCUGGACCUUGUCUUAUCAUAAUAAAAAAAUAAUACUAUUCAUUCACAGACAUAGGAGUCUCUUUUUCCUUUUCUUUUCUUUUUUCUUUUCUUUUUUUUUUUUUUGUAUGGGAGAUUGAUCCCAGGGGCACUUUGCCACUAUGCUACAUCCCCAGUUCUUUUUUUUUUUUUUUUUUGGAGAGAGAGAGAAUUUUUUUUAAAUAUUUAUUUUUCAGUUUUCAGUGGACACAACAUCUUUAUUUUUAUUUUAUGUGGUGCUGAGGAUCGAACCCAGCGCUUCGUGCAUGCCAGGAGAACGCAUUACCGCUUGAGCCACAUCCCCAGCCCCAUCCCCAGUUCUUUUUAUUGUUUAUUUUGGGACAAAAUCUUGCUAAGUUGCUUAGAGCCUUGCUACCUUGCUGAGGCUGGCCUCAAACUUGCAAUCCUCCUGCCUCAGCCUCCUGAGUUGCAGGGAUUAAGUCAAUUUGGAGUAAAAAUUCCCUAUUUUAAAAGAUGUAGUCCCAAUAAAAUUUCAUAUCUUAUGAAAAAUUGAAUAAAUAUAUAUAUAUAUCGUUUUGAACUGUACCAAUAAGUGUAACUCUUAAAGCCUUAUUAAAGUCAUAAAAAAUAAUUUUAAAAUUUCAAUUUAUAGCCCUAUUUUGCAAACAUGAUAGGGUGAUAAAUAAUAGACUUUGAAGAAUAAAAAUAUGGGCCGGGUUUGUGGCUCAAUGGUAGAGCACUCGCUUAGCCCACAUAAAAUAAAUAAAUAAAUAUAUAAAUAAAUAAA